AUUGAACGCUGGCGGCAGGCCUAACACAUGCAAGUCGAGCGGGGUUUUCGGACCUAGCGGCGGACGGGUGAGUAAUGCGUAGGAAGCUGCCCGAUAGAGGGGGAUACCAGUUGGAAACGACUGUUAAUACCGCAUAAUGUCUACGGACCAAAGUGUGGGACCUUCGGGCCACAUGCUAUCGGAUGCGCCUACGUGGGAUUAGCUAGUUGGUGAGGUAAUGGCUCACCAAGGCGACGAUCUCUAGCUGGUUUGAGAGGAUGAUCAGCCACACUGGAACUGAGACACGGUCCAGACUCCUACGGGGGGCAGCAGUGGGGAAUAUCGGACAAUGGGCGCAAGCCUGAUCCAGCCAUGCCGCGUGUGUGAAGAAGGCCUUCGGGUUGUAAAGCACUUUCAGUAGGGAGGAAGCGUUGUGUGUUAAUAGAACACAGCGUUGACGUUACCUACAGAAGAAGCACCGGCUAACUCUGUGCCAGCCGCCGCGGUAACAC
rnacentral:rRNA from 1 species